UACAGAGGGGGCGAGCGUUGUUCGGAAUACUGGGCGUAAAGGGCGCGUAGGCGGCCCGCUAAGUCGAACGUGAAAUCCCCAGGCUCAACCUGGGAACUGCGUCCGAUACUGGCAGGCUUGAAUCCGGGAGAGGGAUGUGGAAUUCCAGGUGUAGCGGUGAAAUGCGUAGAUAUCUGGAGGAACACCGGUGGCGAAGGCGACAUCCUGGACCGGUAUUGACGCUGAGGCGCGAAAGCCAGGGGAGCAAAGC
rnacentral:rRNA from 1 species